rnacentral:lncRNA from 1 species
UAAAAGGGGCAACCUGAGCCGUUGUAUAGAGACCAGACCCACCUGACCUCACCACAGCCUCGCCACAUCCUUCGGAGGACCUUGGAAGGGCCUUCUUCCUCACCUCCAACUGCACCGACCCACUUCGGGUAUCGUCAAAAUUAGCCAGGUGGAUGCAUAUCUGCAGCCCAGUUCUUGCCACCAAGAUCCCAGAGCUCGAUCCCUUCUGACCCCGUGCGAAUGCGGUGAGUGCAGGUCUCCACGUCGAGAUUCCAUUGCACCCAAAAUGCCGCUCGCUAGAGUUUCGAGCUGUCGUCAACGUGAUGCCCGCCGGUGCGUGUGACCCCACCUCCAUCAGUUGCGGAAGCUCCUAGUGCAUGCACCGCACGUUCUCCCCUCUCUGUCGCAUCCCAGGACGUUGUCAGCAACACCGCGAGCCUCUGCUGCCGUUUAUUUGUUAUUGAAUCAUUUUUCUAAAGCGCACUUCUCCAGAACACGCUUUCUCUUUGGGUUCGCGUAUUUUCAACCGGGCAUUUUGCUUCUUUUCAGUGUGCCCUCUGGAAAGUUUAUGUUUCAUUACAGAUCAACCGCUGAUUUCAGUUUCUUUAUAUGUUUUAAACUACAAGGGGUUUUUAGUGAUUAUUUUUGCAAAAUCUUUCUCUUGCAGUCUAGGUUAUUUUCAUAUUUAUUCAAAUAUAUUUGGAGGCGGUAGGUUAGUCUUAGCACUUACGUUCGCAUUCGAUUUUUGUAACAUAGAUUCCAACGAGGGAAAUGUCGCCGUUAACUUCACCGAGCUCGAUCCUGACUACGUUGAACCAGGCAAGCACAUUUGAACACUUGAUGUGACGUUUGUUGAUAAAAUUGUUUGAUCAACUGCUGCAUUAACAAACACAUCUACAUAUUACUUGACAUGUUGAUUUAUGUGACAAUGAUGUCCCGAUGUGGUGAUGAGAGGCCACAGACAGCCUAGUCACGUGGGACGUCAUAGGUUACGGCCUAGUCCUACCGGGAGCAUGACAUUAAUUGGAUGAAUUUAAGUAACCCCCGUGUCGACCUAGAUCGAGUCUUGUUAGUGAGUCACCUUUUUAUUCCGUGCUGCCAUAGUUUUCGUGCUGCCAAUAGUCGGUCGUGAACCUAUUGUGAGUUACACACCAAGUAGAUGGGCCGGGAUGAAGGUCUCCAUGUCCCUGGAAUAAAGCCAGUCAUCCUCUCAUGGGCAUGGGUGUUUCCGGUCUAGGACCGAGAGGGAGGGCACUCCCUUGUAGCGCGCGGUAUAAAUUUGAUCCCAUGGUAGUCAAGGAUGUUGUUCUCCCCAUCUUAUAGUUUUCCCCUAGAAGCGUAGCCCGGGUGAUGCCGGCCUUCGCGGGGGUAAAAAUGGGUGUGUGCUAGUUCUGAGUGUUUGCUUCUAAAAUAAUGUACGCGGGAUUUGUCCUAGUGACUAUUGGAACGUGUUGGCUGUGGGUAAAGAGUAGACCCUCUGCAGAGUCAAAACUAUUUGAGUAGCCGUGUCACGGUCAACGACGGCUGGUUGACAGGUCAAGUGUCGGCCUUAGUGUCGGUCCCUGGAGCACAAGUAUUGGUUUACUAACAUGUUGAUUAUUGAGAUCUGAUAGUGGUGUGGAAAUUAACUUGAUGAAAACUAGGUUAUUUGGAAAAUCCUGAAGGUUGGUUGUACCACCCGAAUAAUCAAUUGUUAUUUAUUAUGCCCUUUCUGUGGUUAUCUAUUAUGCUCUUUCUGUGGUGUCGCUAUGAUGCCUGACUGAGGCUUGUUAUUUAUUAUGCCCUUUCUGUGGCAUCUCUAAGAUGUCCAACUCUAGCUUGUUAUUUAUUAUGACCUUUAUGUGGCGUCGCUAAGAUGCCGCACUGUGGCUUGUUAUUUAUUAUGCCCUUUCUGUGGCGUCGCUAAUACGCUCGAAUGUGGCUUGUAGUUUAUUAUGCUCUUUAUGUGGCGUCGCUAAGAUGGCUGAGUGUGGGUUGUUAUUUAUUAUACCCUGUAUGUCGUGUCUCUUAGAUGACGGACGGUGUUUUUUUUUGCUUGUUAACCAUUCGAGGCAUCGCUUCAGACACACCAAAUCGGUGUAUUUUAUUUUGUUUUGAAUAUUGUAGGGGGACUACUGCUCGACUUAUCUAUCAAACUAAACCGCUAUUAAUUUAUUUUAUCUUGAUAACUGUGCUAAUUAAUCAUGCAUAUGAAAUUGUUGCAUUCAUCUUAUCUUUUGUGCAAAUUGUUUGCGAGUAAUUUUCGAAGUACUGACUGACUUGUUGAUGUGGCCAAAUAUGGAUGAAGGAGACCUCAUGGAUGAAGAGUACGGUAGCGAGUCUGACGCCUAGAAGAGUCCCAGUAAGUUGUGUGAUCAUGUAGUUUCUCGUUGUAUUAUUUCAACGCUUCCGCCACUAUAAAUAAAUCGUCAAGCCUCACCCAGAUGCUUGGUGUGUAGUAGUACUUAUGCCAUGUCAUUUCACUCUAAUGCUACAUGACCACUCUAUUGGAAGCAGUAGAGUUAUCCCAUGACGACUGUAAUAUAUCCGUCCUUAUCAUAUUAUGGGUGUGUUGUAAUAAAUUGUACAGCGACCUCCGCUCUACCCUGUUUAAUAUUAAGUACUACUGGUUUCUGUAUCAAGAUUGGUGUAUGAGUGGGAAUGAUUUUCUACACUGGUGAAAUUCACGGCCGAUUUCCUAUAAUUUUUUUAUUGGAAACCGGUCCUGAUAACCUUGGUAUCCGAGCCAGGCUCACUGCAGGAAACCACUAGGUGUGAUUGCUAACCAGAUUAGCUGUUUCUUUUUCAGUGUUCUGCAUACUAUAGAGAUUUUGCUGUUAGUCAACAUAUAUUCAUGUUAUGACUAUCUCGAAUGUUUUGUAUACUGUGUAGAUGGCUGGCAACGACUGUCUGUCACGGGUCUUCACCAAUGAGCCGCGAGAUUUUCGCGACUUCUCUCAGUCAUUGCCAGGAUUGCGAUUGGACUGACGGCUCUCACUGAGUACUCAUUCUACCACCACAAAAUCAAUGAUGCUCAGACCAUGCAUCAGGCUUCGGUGCAUUUUAUCGGUGUGCGAGUUGAGACUCGUCGUCUUUGGUUUAUCGGGAGAGCCAUGCCUACAGAGAGGCAUGCAAUGCAGAUGUCUGCCAGGGAGGAAAUUGCCUAUCUUCAGGACACCCUCCUAGUGAUGAAGACUUGUCGUUAUCACUACCUCCGGUGCCAUGUUUUGUAGACCAGUCACUAUGCUCUUGCCUACCAGACAGGAGAAGAUGAUGAGGUCAUUUGGAUGCUGGUGCAGUACCUCAUGGCCCUGGAGUCAGCCUUCGACGGUUUAGUGGAUGACUUGGUGCCUCCUCGUAUGGAGGCUCACGCACGUGCCCCUAACAGGACCGAGCUUCUCCGUCCUGCACCACCCUAGUCAUGCCCUUCCUCCUCAGCUUCAUGUACUCCUUCAACCCAGCCAGUUCGUCGCCAUCUGCGUACACUUGAGGAGUUCAUUCAAGUCAUUGCUCCUACCCCCAUUAGAGCUGCCCUGCCUGCUAGCCCAUUACGUGCUUCGCCGUCUUGCGCCGUCGGACUAGAGCUCGUGAAGGAUGAAGUUGAGUCCCCAACACCUUAUCUGGGACUUUCCCUAAGCUUGCCGAUCCAGGUUCCUUCCUCCUCCACCUAGAACUCGUGUAGCAGCACGCCAGGACGCUUGUAUGAUAUGUAUCAUUGUGUGCUCCUAGACCGAAGAGAAGUAGUCGUGUUCUAUCAUGUACUAUGAGUAUAAGUGCACUAGCUUGAAUAACAUGUGAGGCAUGUGUUAGUACAGCCUGAGUGAUGUAAUGUACAAAUGCUCGAUGUAAGAUAUGUACUUCUCCAAACAAGACAGUUGUUUUAUGAAAAAUAUUUUUGUGUUUUCCCUUGGGUGAUAAUUUUUUUAUCUCUUAUACAUGGAUUUCUCAUUUGUUCUUUGCAACAUUAACCCAGAAUUGAGAAAUGAGU